rnacentral:rRNA from 1 species
UACAGAGGGUGCGAGCGUUAAUCGGAAUGACUGGGCGUAAAGGGCGCGUAGGCGGUUGUAUAAGUGAGGCGAUAAAGACAUGGGCUUAACCUGUGAGUGACGGCUUAGACUGUGCAACUAGAGACGAGGAGAGGGGAGUGGAAUUUCCGGAGGAGUGGUGAAAUACGUAGAUUUCGGAAGGAACACCGGAGGCGAAGGCGACUUUCUGGCCUUGUUCUGACGCUGAGGAGCGAAAGCGUGGGUAGCAAACAGG